CAGCACCGUGGGUUAAUCAGCAGGUUAUUUUAUGCCUGUAGUAAGGCUGAGUUGUGUUCUCAUCAGAUGCUAAAUUGCUAAGAUGCUAAUGUAGCGUAGCAUUUUCGUGUUAUUUUUCAGCAGGCAUUACUAUAAAAUGUGCUUUUAAGCCUA